GGGGCUGAUUCUGGAUUCGACGGGAUUUGCGAAACCCAAGGUGCAUGCCGAGGGGCGGUUGGCCUCGUAAAAAGCCGCAAAAAAUAGUCGCAAACGACGAAAACUACGCUUUAGCAGCUUAAUAACCUGCUUAGAGCCAUCUCUCCCUAGCCUCCGCUCUUAGGACGGGGAUCAAGAGAGGUCAAACCCAAAAGAGAUCGCGUGGAAGCCCUGCCUGGGGUUGAAGCGUUAAAACUUAAUCAGGCUAGUUUGUUAGUGGCGUGUCCGUCCGCAGCUGGCAAGCGAAUGUAAAGACUGACUAAGCAUGUAGUACCGAGGAUGUAGGAAUUUCGGACGCGGGUUCAACUCCCGCCAGCUCCACCA
rnacentral:tmRNA from 1 species